GGAAUCUUCCACAAUGGACGAAAGUCUGAUGGAGCAACGCCGCGUGAGUGAAGAAGGUUUUCGGAUCGUAAAGCUCUGUUGUUGGUGAAGAAGGAUAGAGGCAGUAACUGGUCUUUAUUUGACGGUAAUCAACUAGAAAGUCACGGCUAACUACGUGCCAC
rnacentral:rRNA from 1 species